GCAAACUUGGUCAUUUAGAGGAAGUAAAAGUCGUAACAAGGUUUCCGUAGGUGAACCUGCGGAAGGAUCAUUAAAAACAUCCGGGUUUCCCGGCCGACGAGGCCGGGGGUAAAUUCCCGUUCACUUUAUCACCCUCUGUGAAACCUCUACCGUUGCUUCGGCAGCACCGAGCGGGCAACCGCCGGGUAAGGCUGCCAGAAGCCCACAACGAAACCAGUUGAUGAAAUGUCAUGCUGUCUGAUGCUUUUGUUUAUUUGAGAAAUCGAAUCAUAUUAAAACUUUCAGCAACGGAUCUCUUGGUUCCCGCAUCGAUGAAGAACGCAGC
rnacentral:misc_RNA from 1 species